UACGUAGGGUGCGAGCGUUGUCCGGAAUUAUUGGGCGUAAAGAGCUUGUAGGUGGUUUGUCGCGUCUGCUGUGAAAAUCCGAGGCUCAACCUCGGACUUGCAGUGGGUACGGGCAGACUAGAGUGUGGUAGGGGAGACUGGAAUUCCUGGUGUAGCGGUGGAAUGCGCAGAUAUCAGGAGGAACACCGAUGGCGAAGGCAGAUCUCUGGGCCGUAAACUGACGCUGGAGGAGCGAAAAGCCGUGGGGAGCGAACAGG
rnacentral:rRNA from 1 species